UAGGGAAUCUUCCGCAAUGGGCGAAAGCCUGACGGAGCAACGCCGCGUGAGUGAUGAAGGUCUUCGGAUCGUAAAACUCUGUUAUUAGGGAAGAACAAAUGUGUAAGUAACUAUGCACGUCUUGACGGUACCUAAUCAGAAAGCCACGGCUAACUACGUGCCAGCAGCCGCGGUAAUACGUAGGUGGCAAGCGUUAUCCGGAAUUAUUGGGCGUAAAGCGCGCGUAGGCGGUUUUUUAAGUCGGAUGUGAAAGCACACGGCUCAACCGUGGAGGGUCAUUGGAAACUGGAAAACUUGGGUGCAGAAGAGGAAAGUGGAAUUCCAUGUGUAGCGGUGAGAUACGCAGAGAUAUGGAGGAACACCAGUGGCGAAGGCGACUUUCUGGUCUGUAACUGACGCUGAUGUGCGAAAGCGUGGGGAUCAAACAGG
rnacentral:rRNA from 1 species